AGAAGCAAUUUGCAUGGUGGGACUCAUGUGGCACCCAGUGCUGGCACUUCAAAGCACUGAGUACUUCAGCUUUGCCAGAGCUGACUCAGAGGCCCGUUCCUUCUGUCAAAUGCAGCGGCGAGUGACUUUAAUCACUCUGGCUGUCAUUUGGAUGCAGAGAGCUGGCCUGGCUCACAAAUCAAGCACUAUUCAGGACCAGACUGCACGGCCCGCAAGCGUUAUCUGCACAAAGAAAGGUUUCUGUUCAUGGAGAGAGAGACUGCGUGAUCUAGACAGGAAGCCUGGCCCAGCUCCCAGCUAGGCUUCAUCUGAAGAGAAAACUUGUCCAGCCCAUCAAACAACCAUGCUAUCUCAGUGGAGCUGGCUCAGGGCAAAAGCAGCUGUGAAGAGGGCAGCCGGAGCAUGAUGAAACAUGGGGCAGGGUGGAGACCUUGACGACUUUCUGGCUAAAAUACACCUUCUCCAGUGACAUGGCCCCCAAAUACAUCCUCCAACUCAUGCGCUUUGCCCUGGGAUAGAACUUGCUCCAAAUAAGAGGCAUGUGCUACAACAGAGCAGGUUUCUCCCGAGCAUUGCCAGGAGAGGGCAGCAGUGGAAAGCUUUGUGUUUCAGCGUUUCUCCUUCCCCAGAGGGAUGCCACCACCUGCUCCCUGGAAGUGAGAGGAAUACUAAAGGAAAAACAGUUUUAUUCUGCCUUUACACAGCUACAGGACAGUGUACAAAUGGAUCCGCGGUUUAUUUUUCUUCAAGUCUUGCCCGAGUUCAGCCCAACGAAUGACUCCUGUGGCAUACACCGUCACUCCCACAGGCCUUUCGGUUCAUUGGCCUGGCAGCCCACAGCCGGAUCCCUCUCACGUGCCCACAGCCUCAGCUGGUGCCUGGUUACACACGUGCCGUAUGAAGAGGCACUCGGGGACAGAUGUCACAUGAGAAGCAUGCAUGGUGAGAAAGAAGCCUUGGUUGCAGCCCUGAAGGGCCUCUUGUAAGCGUGUGACCUGCCCAGCCCUGAAGGGCCUCUUGUAAGCGUGUGACCUGUGCCAGCUGAAGGCUUGGAAACCAUUACGGUCUGGACCUGAGCAUUUAUCAGACAAAAAGGACUCCAGAACAGGCACGUGGGACUCAUCUUUGUAAUGUAACACCAUCCAUUCGUAUGAGUAAAGCUAAAGGAAAACUCUUGGCAUAUCCAAUUCUGGGAGAUGGAAAGUCUGCCUGUUUCAAUGUGGCUUUUGGGGUUUGGCUAGAAGGGCUUUGGGAUGUUGAGGUGAUCCUAUUGCAAAUAGAACUCUUGGAGAAAAGGCUUUUGCAGUCUUCACAGGAGGGCUCACCCUUUCUUUUCCAUAAGGCUGUUCUUUGGCAGAUGCCGUCAGCGCAGAGUAUUCUACUCUUGGCACUGUUACCUGGAUGAUUUUAGCUGUCAGUUCAGCUUUGCAUACAGCUGGAUCUUGAGCCAGCAACCGACCCAUCGAGCUCUGUCAGAGACUUGAAUGUGGAAAAGAGCCGAGAAGGCCGGGUGUGGCACGCUUCAUGCUUUGUUGCACUCCUGCUCUAUUCCUCCAUCUGCACCAGGCAUGCUGCAAGGUGCUGCAGAACGGCGCUGGAGAAUAUUUCUCGGACUUGCACGAAAUAAAUAUUUGAAG
rnacentral:lncRNA from 7 species